rnacentral:rRNA from 1 species
AUUACUCGGUAUGUAAUUCUUAUCGAGAAGAAACCAAAUGGCGACCAUUUUUUCCGUACUGAUUGAAAAGCCCCGGCUAAUUAUGUCCAGCACCCCGGUAAGACAUAAGGGCAAGUGUUUAUCCGGAAUUAUUGGGCGUAAAAGGGUGCGUAGGCGGUCUAGUAAGUCAGUGGUGUAAUGUCAACGCUUAACGUUGUCCGGCUAUUGAAACUGCUAAACUUGAGUUAGAUAGAGGCGAGUGGAAUUCCAUGUGUAGCGGUAAAAUGCGUAAAUAUAUGGAGGAACACCAGAGGCGUAGGCGGCUCGCUGGGUCUUAACUGACGCUGAGGCACGAAAGCGUGGGGAGCAAACAGGAUUAGAUACCCUGGUAGUCCACGCCGUAAACGAUGAGUACUAAGUGUCGGGUUAAACCGGUACUGAAGUUAACACAUUAAGUACUCCGCCUGAGUAGUACGUACGCAAGUAUGAAACUUAAAGGAAUUGACGGGACUCCGCACAAGCGGUGGAUCAUGUUGUUUAAUUCGAAGAUACCCGAAAAACCUUACCAGGUCUUGACAUGUUUUUGCAAAAUGAUAGUAAUAUCGUGGAGGUUACCAGAAACACAGGUGGUGCAUGGUUGUCGUCAGCUCGUGUCGUGAGAUGUUAGGUUAAGUCCUAAAACGAGCGAAACCCUUAUCGUUAGUUGCCAGCACGUUAUGGUGGGGACUUUAACGAGACUGCCAUAGUAAAAUGGUGGCGGUCAGGAUCACGUCAA